AGUUUUUUCGGUGUGGGAUGAGCUCGCGGCCUAUCAGCUUGUUGGUGGGGUAAUGGCCUACCAAGGCGUCGACGGGUAGCCGGCCUGAGAGGGUGUACGGCCACAUUGGGACUGAGAUACGGCCCAGACUCCUACGGGAGGCAGCAGUGGGGAAUAUUGCACAAUGGGCGCAAGCCUGAUGCAGCGACGCCGCGUGGGGGAUGACGGCCUUCGGGUUGUAAACUCCUUUCGCCAGGGACGAAGCGUUUUGUGACGGUACCUGGAUAAGAAGCACCGGCUAACUACGUGCCAGCAGCCGCGGUAAUACGUAGGGUGCGAGCGUUGUCCGGAAUUACUGGGCGUAAAGAGCUCGUAGGUGGUUUGUCGCGUCGUUUGUGUAAUACCGCAGCUUAACUGCGGGGUUGCAGGCGAUACGGGCAUAACUUGAGUGCUGUAGGGGAGACUGGAAUUCCUGGUGUAGCGGUGGAAUGCGCAGAUAUCAGGAGGAACACCGAU
rnacentral:rRNA from 1 species